UUUAGAACUCGAGAUAUGGGCUUAACACUGCACUGUAUAUGGGCUGCAAGACAAAUUCCGACUUCUCUGUUGUUGCUAUAAUUUGAACUUGAAAACGACCCUUUUAAAUCUUGGACUCUUCAUAAAUGUUUUAGGCCUAUGUCUUAGCUUUCCAUA
rfam:Populus trichocarpa scaffold_238_contig_3, whole genome shotgun sequence.